AGGGAAUAUUGCAAAAUGGGCGAAAGCCCGAUGCAGCAACGCCGCGUGGGCGAUGAAGGCCUUCGGGUCGUAAAGCCCUUUUUGAGGGGAUGAGGAAGGACAGUACCCUCAGAAUAAGCCUCGGCUAACUACGUGCCAGCAGCCGCGGUAAAACGUAGGAGGCGAGCGUUAUCCGGAUUUACUGGGCGUAAAGCGCGUGCAGGCGGAUUGGAGAGUUGGAUGUGAAAGCUCCCGGCUUAACUGGGAGAGGUCGUUCAAUACUUCCAGUCUUGAGUGCAGUAGAGGGAAGUGGAAUUCCGGGUGUAGUGGUGAAAUGCGUAGAUAUCCGGAGGAACACCAGUGGCGAAAGCGGCUCCCUGGACUGUAACUGACGCUCAGACGCGAAAGCUAGGGUAGCAAACG
rnacentral:rRNA from 1 species